GACGAACGCUGUCGGCGUGCUUAACACAUGCAAGUCGAACGGAAAGGCCCUGCUUUUGUGGGGUGCUCGAGUGGCGAACGGGUGAGUAACACGUGAGUAACCUGCCCUUGACUUUGGGAUAACUUCAGGAAACUGGGGCUAAUACCGGAUAGGAGCUCCUGCUGCAUGGUGGGGGUUGGAAAGUUUCGGCGGUUGGGGAUGGACUCGCGGCUUAUCAGCUUGUUGGUGGGGUAGUGGCUUACCAAGGCUUUGACGGGUAGCCGGCCUGAGAGGGUGACCGGCCACAUUGGGACUGAGAUACGGCCCAGACUCCUACGGGAGGCAGCAGUGGGGAAUAUUGCACAAUGGGCGGAAGCCUGAUGCAGCAACGCCGCGUGCGGGAUGACGGCCUUCGGGUUGUAAACCGCUUUCGCCUGUGACGAAGCGUGAGUGACGGUAAUGGGUAAAGAAGCACCGGCUAACUACGUGCCAGCAGCCGCGGUGAUACGUAGGGUGCGAGCGUUGUCCGGAUUUAUUGGGCGUAAAGGGCUCGUAGGUGGUUGAUCGCGUCGGAAGUGUAAUCUUGGGGCUUAACCCUGAGCGUGCUUUCGAUACGGGUUGACUUGAGGAAGGUAGGGGAGAAUGGAAUUCCUGGUGGAGCGGUGGAAUGCGCAGAUAUCAGGAGGAACACCAGUGGCGAAGGCGGUUCUCUGGGCCUUUCCUGACGCUGAGGAGCGAAAGCGUGGGGAGCGAACAGGCUUAGAUACCCUGGUAGUCCACGCUGUAAACGGUGGGUACUAGGUGUGGGGUCCAUUCCACGGGUUCCGUGCCGUAGCUAACGCUUUAAGUACCCCGCCUGGGGAGUACGGCCGCAAGGCUAAAACUCAAAGGAAUUGACGGGGCCCCGCACAAGCGGCGGAGCAUGCGGAUUAAUUCGAUGCAACGCGUAGAACCUUACCUGGGUUUGACAUGGAUCGGGAGUGCUCAGAGAUGGGUGUGCCUCUUUUGGGGUCGGUUCACAGGUGGUGCAUGGCUGUCGUCAGCUCGUGUCGUGAGAUGUUGGGUUAAGUCCCGCAACGAGCGCAACCCUUGUUCACUGUUGCCAGCACGUUAUGGUGGGGACUCAGUGGAGACCGCCGGGGUCAACUCGGAGGAAGGUGGGGAUGACGUCAAGUCAUCAUGCCCCUUAUGUCCAGGGCUUCACGCAUGCUACAAUGGCUGGUACAGGGAGUGGCGAGCCUGUGAGGGUGAGCGAAUCUCGGAAAGCCGGUCUCAGUUCGGAUUGGGGUCUGCAACUCGACCUCAUGAAGUCGGAGUCGCUAGUAAUCGCAGAUCAGCAACGCUGCGGUGAAUACGUUCCCGGGGCU
rnacentral:rRNA from 1 species